UACAGAGGUCCCGAGCGUUGUUCGGAUUCACUGGGCGUAAAGGGUGCGUAGGUGGCUUGAUAAGUUUGAUGUGAAAUCCCCGGGCUUAACCUGGGAAUGGCAUUUGGGACUGCAAGGCUUGAGUGCGGCAGAGGAGACUGGAAUUCCUGGUGUAGCAGUGAAAUGCGUAGAUAUCAGGAGGAACACCGAUGGCGAAGGCAGGUCGUCUGGCUGGACACUGACGCUCAUGCACGAAAGCGUGGGGAGCGAAACAAGGAUUGAUAAACC
rnacentral:rRNA from 1 species